UCUCUUGUAAUUUUUCUCUUCAGGUACAUUUGAUCUUUAAACAUAAAUAUAUAGAGCCCUGUUCUAUUGAGGAGUUAGUGUAAUGUUGACAAAACAUUUAUUCUAUUGUUUUAUACACAUUUUCACUUUGAACAAACCAGCAAAUGUUAGAAAAAGAAAAGUUGAUCACAUUUAGUAGGUUGAUCAUGAGUUGGAGUUGUUGUGCUCAUUUCAAGUUUCAGUCAUUAGAGAAGCUGUGAUCAGUCAGAAUAGAAAUGGACCUCAAGGGAUUCUCUGUAAAUUAUUGAAUUUUGUGCAUGAUUAUUUCCAUUAAAUGGAAGGCUGCUUUUAAUUCUAUUCUAUACAUAUAGUUAACUGUCACAUUUUUCUUUUGUUGUAUUUAUGAUUCAGAUUGUACACAAAUAUUGUUUAUGUUUGAAAUGCAGUCAGCAGUUGAAAUUUCAGUAGUCAGAUCUUUUUAACCAAACAUUUUAUUUAAAAAACCUUUUUGAUAGCAUUGACUUCCUCAUACAUGAUCUUAUGAACAUUAUGCACCAAGAAAUAAUAAACAUAAAAUACUCAGUUAA